GAUGAACGCUGGCGGCGUGCCUAAUACAUGCAAGUCGAGCGAACGGACGAGAAGCUUGCUUCUCUGAUGUUAGCGGCGGACGGGUGAGUAACACGUGGAUAACCUACCUAUAAGACUGGGAUAACUUCGGGAAACCGGAGCUAAUACCGGAUAAUAUUUUGAACCGCAUGGUUCAAAAGUGAAAGACGGUCUUGCUGUCACUUAUAGAUGGAUCCGCGCUGCAUUAGCUAGUUGGUAAGGUAACGGCUUACCAAGGCAACGAUGCAUAGCCGACCUGAGAGGGUGAUCGGCCACACUGGAACUGAGACACGGUCCAGACUCCUACGGGAGGCAGCAGUAGGGAAUCUUCCGCAAUGGGCGAAAGCCUGACGGAGCAACGCCGCGUGAGUGAUGAAGGUCUACGGAUCGUAAAACUCUGUUAUUAGGGAAGAACAUAUGUGUAAGUAACUGUGCACAUCUUGACGGUACCUAAUCAGAAAGCCACGGCUAACUACGUG
rnacentral:rRNA from 1 species